GGUGGCCGGAUAGCUGCGCCGCGGAAAGGAAAAUCCGAGGGUGAGGAAAGUCCGGGCUUCAAGGGAACAAAGCACCAGAUAACGUCUGGCUGAGGAAACUCAAGGGAAAGUGCCGCAGAAAAUUACCGCCUUUCUAUAUGGGAGGUAAGGUUGAAAAGGCGAGGUAAGAGCUCACCGCGGAGAUGGUAACAUCGCCGGCCGGGUAAACCCUGCUUGAAGCAAGACCAAGUUAGGACGGAUUUCAGCAAUGGAGUUCAGAUUAGGAGGGUUCCCACUCCUUCCAGAGGUAGGUCGCACCGAGCCGGAUUGUGAAAUCCGGCCCAGAUGAAUAGCUAUCGUCAUAAAUCUUUGCCUCCGGGUAAAGCAAAUAUGAUACAGAACCCGGCUUAUAGGCUGCCC
rnacentral:RNase_P_RNA from 1 species